rnacentral:rRNA from 1 species
UACGGAGGGGGCUAGCGUUAUUCGGAAUUACUGGGCGUAAAGCGCACGUAGGCGGAACGGAAAGUUGGGGGUGAAAGCCCAGGGCUCAACCCUGGAACUGCCUUCAAAACUCCCGUUCUUGAGGUCGAGAGAGGUGAGUGGAAUUCCGAGUGUAGAGGUGAAAUUCGUAGAUAUUCGGAGGAACACCAGUGGCGAAGGCGGCUCACUGGCUCGAUACUGACGCUGAGGUGCGAAAGCGUGGGGAGCAAACAGG